AACGAACGCUGGCGGCAUGCCUAACACAUGCAAGUCGAACGAGACCUUCGGGUCUAGUGGCGCAAGGGAGCGUAACGCGUGGGAACCUGCCCUUAGGUUCGGAAUAACUCCCCACAAGGGGUGCUAAUACCGGAUAAUGUCGUCGAACCAAAGAUUUAUCGCCUUUGGAUGGGCCCGCGUUGGAUUAGCUAGUUGGUAGGGUAACAGCCUACCAAGGCGACGAUACAUAGCUGGUCUGAGAGGGUGAUCAGCCACACUGGGACUGAGACACGGCCCAGACUCUUACGGGAGGAAGCAGUGGGGAAUAUUGGAAAAUGGGCGAAAGCUUGAGCCAGCAAUGCCGCGUGAGUGAUGCAGGCCUUAGGGUUGUAAAGCUCUUUUAUCCGGGAGGAUAAUGACAGUACCGGGAGAAUAAGCCCCGGCUAACUCCGUG
rnacentral:rRNA from 1 species